AAUGCUUCCAGUUUACCUGUCAAUUAGAGACAGACAGGUUGGGUGACAUUCUCCGGACUGCACACCUCUGCUCCAGGGUGGAACCCAAGAAGAAAAGGACUCUUAGAUAUAUAUACUCAGAACCUAAGCCUUAAUCCAGGCUUUCACGGUGAUUGCAUGGAUUGCUGACAUCACCCCUUGCCUGCCUCCACCUCAUCAUUCAUGAUAAAAGAGGGAUGCUCUUCAUAAAAUGCAGAUUAGACAAGGUUACGUCCUUGUCCAAUGUCUCGGUGGCUUGCUGUGGAUGGCAGAAGCUUGGCAUUCUUUGCAUUUCAUGCCAGUCUCUCCCAGCCUGGCUAUGAUGUCCCUCUCUAGACACAUCUCCACGGAGCCCCAUGGUUAUGCCACACUGCAGCUAGUGUCUCCAAGUGCUGGUCUGAGGAGAUUUUUCUCAAGAUAUUGGAAAGUCUGGCUAAAUGAAUGUGGAUUUAAAUCAAACUCCACACACACUGAGAACGUCUGAGAAGGAGCCAAGUGGGUAAAGUUUGAGGACCAAGCUAACACUUCAGUGAAUUCAACUGGGAAAACACACGGAAGGCAUUUGGAACACAACUUCUAGAAUAUAUCCAGCUGUCUUUUGCCCCUUCCCUUCUGCCUGAGAUGCCAAUCGCUUGUGAGUUACAAAAAUAACUGUUCUACAUGUACAGG
rnacentral:lncRNA from 1 species